AACUAUCCUUCCACGUUUUUUUAAUUUUCUUUUAACCCAUUUAUAUUGCUGGAUAUCCUUAAUCUGGAUUGCCUUUGUAAGCACGUAGUAAAACCCUUUAGUGGUUAUGUCCUCACACUCUAAUAUAGAUAUGAAUCCCAAGUCAUUAACCACAAAAUGGUGAUGAAGACGAUGAUGAGGCAAGGUUAUAACCGCACACAUCUUAGGCGAGCGCAUCCAUGCCCAUGUCGACUCUUCCUUAAUUUUGAGUAGCAAUAAAACCAAAUAAUCCCUACCCGACCUGAAAAUUCUUUAGUUUCAGUGAAAUCUCCGGCACACAUUGAAGAGGACUCUUGGCCAAUAUUUGCCUAGAGACGUGCAAACAGGAUGCCGCGUGCAUUGUGUGCACAUUAAAUACCGCAUAAAUUAAAUUAAUUGCCAAAGUUUAUUUUUUAUUGCCCUAACAAAUUUCAAACUCUGGAGCAACUGCCUUUUGUGUCAAAUUCUAGUACUGGGUUGGUGUGGAGCCAAGUUUAUAAAAUUGGAAAAAUAAAAUCAAGUAACAUUUACUGUAAUUUCAGCAUAAAUCCAUAGUUUCAAGCCCUAAGAAUUAAAGUAUUCAAGAAUUUCAUCGCAUAAGCGCUGUUUAUCACAAGUGUUUAGUUUUCCAUGCAAAAAUGAAAUUUCCCCAGUCUACACUCCAUAUAAUUGUUCCCCUGAUAAAAUGGAGAACAAGAAAGAGGGUCGAAAUGGGUUCAGUUAACAAACAUCUAACUGUCUUUUUGCCCCCUGAAAUGACACUUGAAAAAAGACAAAUAAACCAACUAUGGAAAGGAAACGGAAAUAAAAAUACAAAAUGGCCGUCAAUGUUGACAGUUGACAUGGCAGAGGAUUUGCUUUCUCUUGGCUUCAACAAAAGCAGCGAAGGAUUGAACAUGGUUUAAUUGUAACCACAACUUUACAUACCCUUAAUCGGAAAAUAGUAACCAAGAUAGUAAAUAUGCCA